rnacentral:rRNA from 1 species
UGCGUAGGCGGAUUAAUAAGUCAGUGGUGAAAACCUGCAGCUUAACUGUAGACUUGCCAUUGAUACUGUUAGUCUUGAGUACGGUCAAGGUAGGCGGAAUGUGUAAUGUAGCGGUGAAAUGCUUAGAUAUUACACAGAACACCGAUUGCGAAGGCAGCUUACUGGGCCAUUACUGACGCUGAGGCACGAAAGCGUGGGGAGCGAACAGGAUUAGAUACCCUGGUAGUCC